rnacentral:lncRNA from 1 species
GUUGAAAAGUCAACAAAGGUAGGAAGCAACUUGUUAAAAAGGUUGAGCAAGUUGCACCGAAUGUUGAAAAGUUGAAUGGGAUAAUUGUAAUUUUGGUCCCUAAUUUUUUAGGCCAUUUGCAAGUUAGUCCCUGAACCUCAACUAUAAAUAGGCCUUUUCAUUUUUCAUUUCAACCAUCCCAACCAAUCUUUCUCUCUUAGUUUUCUCUCUUCUCCCAUUUGAGAAUUCUUAAGGAAUUCUAUUUGUUUGUAAUAUUUUGGAGAUAGUAAAGUUAUCAUCUGGUGUUAGUGCCCGAGGACGUAGGUAUAAUUUACCGAACCUCGUUAAAACUCUUGUGUUCUUUUUUGUCCUAUUUUUCUUUCAAUAUUUGAGGGUAUAAUAGUAGUAUUUAAUUGUGCUAUUAAAUUACUAUAGAAGGGAUAUUCUGACUAAGGAAAGACUUGGUAUUUAAGAGAUCAUUGUGAUCCACCUCUCUUCCCUGGGAAUUGAACUUUGUGUGAUUUUUUAGUACAAUAAUUUACACGCUUCCGACCCUAUUGGAACAACAAGUGGUAUCAAGAGCCGAAGGUUAAUUGUAGUAUGCUCUGUGGUUGCAGUUUAAACUGAUCUUCCACAUCAGAAAAGAUUUCCUUAGGUAUAUUGAAAGAUUAUGGAGAAAACGGUCGGUGUAGGAGCUUCAACAUCGUCCAUGUGGACAAGACCGACAAUUGCAAAUGCAAGAUUGGCCGUGGAGAUCUUUGAUGGCACGGGCCAUUUUGGUAUGUGGCAAAGUGAGGUUCUAGAUGCCCUUUUUCAGCAGGGUCUAGACAUUGCCAUUGAUGAAGAGAAACCAGAUGAUGUACAGGAGAAAGAUUGGAAGGCGAUCAAUCGGUUGGCAUGUGGCACAAUUCGAUCAUGCCUUUCUCGAGAGCAGAGGUAUGCUUUUUCAAAGGAGACUUCUGCAAAUAAGUUGUGGGUGGCACUUGAAGAAAUUUUUUUGAAGAAAAACAGUCAAAAUAAGCUCCACUUGAAGAAAAGACUGUUUCGCUUCACAUACGUCCCAAGUACCACAAUGAAUGAUCACAUCACCAAAUUUAAUCAGUUAGUCACUGAUUUGCUGAAUAUGGAUGAGACAUUCAAAGAUGAAGAUUUGGCUUUGAUGCUGUUGGGGUCACUUCCUGAGGAGUUUGAGUUCCUAGAAACUACUCUACUUCAUGGCAGGAGUGAUAUAUCUCUGAGCGAAGUCUGUGCGGCCUUAUACAGUUAUGAACAGAGAAAGAAGGACAAACAGAAAAACUCAAUCAAAGAUACAGAAGCUUUAGUAGUCCGAGGUCGUUCAUACACUCGGAAGAAAACUCAAAAGGGGAGAUCAAAGUCAAAGUCCAGACUCGGGAAAGAUGAAUGUGCUUUUUGUCAUGAGAAAGGCCACUGGAAGAAAAAUUGUCCAAAGCUGAAGAAUAAGGGAAAAGCUGCUGUAGAUGCUUGUGUUGCUAAGCAUGAUACUAGUGACUCUGAACUAUCACUGGUUGCAUCAUCAUCGUCGUUCCAUUCAGAUGAGUGGAUAUUGGAUUCGGGUUGUACCUAUCAUAUGUCCCCUAACCGGGAGUGGUUCUCUGAUUUAGUAGAACUAAAUGGAGGAGUUGUUUAUAUGGGCAAUGACAAUGCCUGUAAAACUGUUGGGAUAGGUUCAAUCCAAUUAAAGAAUCAAGAUGGAUCAACCAGAGUUCUGACUGAUGUUCGGUACGUGCCCAGUUUGAAGAAAAAUCUCAUCUCAUUGGGAGCCUUGGAAUCCAAUGGUUCAGUUGUUACUAUGAGAGAUGGGAUUUUGAAAGUGACAUCUAGCGCACUUGUAAUAUUGAAGGGCAUCAGGAAAAAUAACUUGUAUUACUACCAAGGUAGUACAGUUAUUGGAGCAGUCGCUACAGCUUCCGGUAACAAAGACUUGGACUCAAUGCAGUUGUGGCAUAUGAAGUUGGGACAUGCCAGCGAAAAAUCCUUGCAAAUUCUGGCAAAGCAAGGAUUGUUGAAAGGUGCAAAGGCUUGCAAAUUAAAAUUUUGUGAGCACUGUGUUCUGGGAAAGCAAAAGAGAGUGAAAUUCGGCACUGCUAUCCAUAAUAUAAAAGGUAUUUUGGAAUACAUUCACUCAGAUGUGUGGGGGCCUUCUAAAACACCUUCGUUGGGAGGAAAACACUACUUUGUUACUUUUGUUGAUGACUUUUCCAGAAGAGUUUGGGUGUAUACCAUGAAAACUAAAGAUGAAGUGCUUGGAGUUUUUCUUAAAUGGAAAACUAUGAUCGAAAACCAGACUGGCAAGAAAAUCAAGCGGCUUAGGACGGACAAUGGAGGGGAAUAUAAAAGUGAUCCGUUCUUCGAUGUGUGCCAAGAGUAUGGUAUUGUUCGACACUUCACAGUUAGGGAUACACCACAACAGAAUGGAGUGGCAGAGCGUAUGAAUCGAACAUUGCUGGAGAAAGUUCGAUGUAUGUUGUCCAAUGCUGGGUUGGGCAAGCAAUUUUAGGCUGAGGCUGUGACAUACGCUGGCCAUCUUGUUAAUUGUUUGCCAUCAUCUGCAUUAGAAAGAAAAACUCCUAUGGAGGUAUGGUCUGGAAAACCGGCUACAGAUUAUGAUUCCUUACAUGUGUUUGGAUCCACUGCAUAUUACCAUGUGAAGGAGUCAAAGUUAGAUCCGAGGGCAAAGAAAGCUCUCUUUAUGGGAAUCACUUCUGGAGUGAAGGGAUUUCGUCUUUGGUGCUUAAGCACAAAGAAAAUGAUCUGUAGCAGAGAUGUUACCUUUGAUGAAUCUGCCACAUUGAAAAAGGUAGCAGAUAAAGAUAUUCAGACGAGCAAUACUCCACAGCAGGUGGAGUGUACUCCAAAACAGGUGGAGUUUGAGCAGAUGGGGAUUUGCCCAGUUAAUAAGUCUAAUUCUCCAGCCACAAUGGAGGAAUUAGAGGUUGAAGAGGUUCUGACCCAAGAACCACUAAGUACACCAGAACCAGUUGCAGUUGCAAGGCCACGGAGAGAAAUUCGUAAACCUGCUCGAUUUACUGAAUGGUGGCCUACGCCCUUCCCGUUGUUGAUGAUAUUCCUAUCACUUAUCAAGAAGCAAUGCAAAGCUUAGAAAGUGAUAAAUGGAAAAGCGCCUUGGAUGAAGAAAUGCAGUCUCUCCGGAAGAACAAUACUUGGGAGUUGACGCAAUUACCGAAAGAUAAAAGGGCAAUCGGAUGCAAGUGGGUAUUCGCAAAGAAAGAUGGAUCUCCUAGCAAGAAGGAUAUUCGCUACAAGGCAAGAUUGGUAGCUAAAGGCUACGCUCAGAAGGAGGGAAUUGACUACAAUGAUGUAUUUUCCCCUGUUGUGAAGCAUUCCUCCAUUAGAAUUUUGUUGGCCUUGGUAGCACAGUUGAAUUUGGAGCUAGCUCAACUUGAUGUUAAGACGGCUUUCUUGCAUGGUGAGUUAGAAGAGGAGAUCUAUAUGACUCAGCCAGAAGGAUACACAGAUGCUGGUGGUAGAAAUUGGGUUUGUAAGCUUAACAAAUCGCUAUAUGGAUUGAAGCAAUCCCCGAGGCUGUGGUACAAGCGAUUUGAUAGCUUUAUGAGAAGGCAGAAGUACACAAGAAGCAAAUAUAACAAUUGUGUGUAUUUGCAGAAGCUGCAUGACGGAUCUUUCAUUUAUCUACUCUUGUAUGUUGAUGAUAUGUUAAUCGCUUCGAAGAGCCAAAAUGAGAUAGAUAAGCUGAAGGCUCAGUUGAAUCAAGAGUUCAAGAUGAAAGAUCUAGGUGAGGCCAAGAAGAUUCUCGGCAUGGAGAUAAGUAGAGAUAGACAGAGAGGCAAGCUUUGUUUGAAUCAGAAGCAAUAUCUGAAAAAGGUAUUACAAUGUUUUGGUGUAAAUGAAAACACAAAACAUGUAAGUACCCCACUUGCUUCUCAUUUGAAACUUAGUGCUCAAUUAUCUCCGAAAACUGAAGAAGAAAGAGAAUAUAUGGCAAAAGUCCCAUAUGCUAAUGCAGUUGGGAGUUUGAUGUAUGCGAUGGUGUGUACGAGGCCUGACAUUUCACAAGCUGUUGGAGUUGUGAGCAGGUAUAUGCAUGAUCCUGGAAAAGGACAUUGGCAAGCUGUGAAAUGGAUUCUACGGUAUCUUCGAAAAACCGUAGAUGUUGGUUUAAUUUUUGAACAGGAUGAAGCACUUGGUCAGUUUGUAGUUGGAUAUGUUGAUUCCGACUUUGCUGGUGAUUUAGAUAAACGUCGUUCAACUACGGGGUAUCUGUUUACUCUUGCGAAAGCCCCAGUGAGUUGGAAGUCUACCUUACAGUCUACAGUAGCUGUGUCUACUACAGAGGCAGAAUAUAUGGCAGUUACAGAAGCUGUUAAGGAGGCUAUUUGGCUUAAUGGAUUAUUGAAAGACUUGGGAGUUGUUCAAAGUCACAUUAGUCUAUAUUGUGACAGUCAGAGUGCUAUUCAUUUAGCGAAAAAUCAAGUCUAUCAUUCAAGAACCAAGCAUAUCGACGUAAGAUAUCACUUUGUGCGGGAAGUCUUUGAAAAAGGAAAAAUUCUACUUCAGAAGAUUCCGACAGCAGAUAAUCCCGCAGAUAUGAUGACCAAGGUGGUAACAACAAUCAAGUUUAAUCAUUGUUUGAACUUGAUUAACAUCCUGAGAAUUUGAGCACCUUUAGGUGUAUGGCGCUCGAGAGCGCAUUUGGAGGCACUACAAAAGAUAGCUUUAUCGAAUUUGGGGAGUUGAAGGAAGUAUGUGAAGAUGUGAUUAUCCUAAUCAAAUCUUCAAGGUGGAGAUUGUUGAAAAGUCAACAAAGGUAGGAAGCAACUUGUUAAAAAGGUUGAGCAAGUUGCACCGAAUGUUGAAAAGUUGAAUGGGAUAAUUGCAAUUUUGGUCCCUAAUUUUUUAGGCCAUUUGCAAGUUAGUCCCUGAACCUCAACUAUAAAUAGGCCUUUUCAUUUUUCAUUUCAACCAUCCCAACCAAUCUUUCUCUCUUAGUUUUCUCUCUUCUCCCAUUUGAGAAUUCUUAAGGAAUUCUAUUUGUUUGUAAUAUUUUGGAGAUAGUAAAGUUAUCAUCUGGUGUUAGUGCCCGAGGACGUAGGUAUAAUUUACCGAACCUCGUUAAAACUCUUGUGUUCUUUUUUUUCCUAUUUUUCUUUCAAUAUUUGAGGGUAUAAUAGUAGUAUUUAAUUGUGCUAUUAAAUUACUAUAGAAGGGAUAUUCUGACUAAGGAAAGACUUGGUAUUUAAGAGAUCAUUGUGAUCCACCUCUCUUCCCUGGGAAUUGAACUUUGUGUGAUUUUUUAGUACAAUAAUUUACACGCUUCCGACCCUAUUGGAACAACA